rnacentral:rRNA from 1 species
UGAACGCUGGCGGCAUGCCUUACACAUGCAAGUCGAACGGUAACGGGCCUUCGGGUGCCGCCGAGUGGCGAACGGGUGAGUAAUACAUCGGAACGUGCCCGAUCGUGGGGGAUAACGAGGCGAAAGCUUUGCUAAUACCGCAUACGAUCUACGGAUGAAAGCAGGGGACCGCAAGGCCUUGCGCGGACGGAGCGGCCGAUGGCAGAUUAGGUAGUUGGUGGGAUAAAAGCUUACCAAGCCGACGAUCUGUAGCUGGUCUGAGAGGAUGAUCAGCCACACUGGGACUGAGACACGGCCCAGACUCCUACGGGAGGCAGCAGUGGGGAAUUUUGGACAAUGGGCGCAAGCCUGAUCCAGCCAUGCCGCGUGCAGGAUGAAGGCCUUCGGGUUGUAAACUGCUUUUGUACGGAACGAAAAGCCUUCUUUUAAUACAGGAGGGUCAUGACGGUACCGUAAGAAUAAGCACCGGCUAACUACGUG